AACGAACGCUGGCGGCAUGCCUAACACAUGCAAGUCGAACGAGACCUUCGGGUCUAGUGGCGCACGGGUGCGUAACGCGUGGGAACCUGCCCUUAGGUUCGGAAUAACUCCCCGAAAGGGGUGCUAAUACCGGAUAAUGUCUUCGGACCAAAGAUUUAUCGCCUUUGUAUGGGCCCGCGUUGGAUUAGCUAGUUGGUAGAGUAAAAGCCUACCAAGGCGACGAUCCAUAGCUGGUCUGAGAGGAUGAUUAGCCACACUGGGACUGAGACACGGACCAGACUCCUACGGGAGGCAGAAGAGGGGAAUAUUGGACAGUGGGAGAAAGGCUGAUCCAGCAAUGCCGCGUGAGAGAUGAAGGCCUUAGGGUUGUAAAGCUAUUUUACCCGGGAUGAUAAUGACAGUACCGGGAGAAUAAGCUCCGGCUAACUCCGUG
rnacentral:rRNA from 1 species